rnacentral:rRNA from 1 species
CACGUAGGGUGCGAGCGUUGUCCGGAAUUACUGGGCGUAAAGGGCUCGUAGGGGGCCAACUAAGUCAGACGUGAAAUCCCUCAGCUUAACUGGGGAACUGCGUCUGAUACUGGAUGACUUGAGUUUGGGAGAGGGACGCGGAAUUCCAGGUGUAGCGGUGAAAUGCGUAGAUAUCUGGAGGAAUACCGGUGGCGAAGGCGGCAUCCUGGACCGACAUUGACGCUGAGGAGCGAAAGCUAGGGGAGCAAACGGG